AUGUUCCAAAGUUUGGUCUCGCCGUCGUUCACUUGCGCUUCAUAUAGAGAAACAAUGGAGCACGGACGAGACGAGGAAGCAGAAGAGGUGUUGGGGGACAUAAUCUUAGCCGGAGGUGAUGUCUUGUCGUAUCUUAACGACAAUGAUGGUCUGGAAGAACAGGGUGAAGAAGUAGGCUACGGUGAUCGAAGAGUGGAGGAGGAAAGACAUGAUUAUGAUGGCUCCGGUGACCCAAUGCUGGUGCAAGAAGGAGCCCGUGGUGACGGUUCCGGUGAUCGAACAGAGUCCGGCCGGCCCUCCGGAUCGAGCACAACUUCGGUAAAGAGACGAGGCCCGAAGAGAAAGUUGCGCUCGGAUGAAAGGUUUGAGAUCACAGCAAUCGCGCGCGACGGCCAACCGAUUGAACCCAUCCGGACAAAGGAAGCAUUUGCUGCUCAGUGUGGGGUUCUUGUUAGGGACAAGUUCCCGAUCAGCAUCCACCAAUGGUAUAAGCCUAAGAAGGAAGACCCCGAGGUGUCUUAUGUCAAUGAUAUGCAGAAAGAUGAUCUUUGGACUGAGCUGAAGGCAAAUUUCACCCUACCGCCAGAGGAGGAUCCGGAGAAGCCAGUUAAAGAGCAAUUAAUCAAGUCUCGAUUUCUUAAGAAGAUGGCAGACCUAUUCAGGAGGUGGAAGAAUGAGCUGAAAACGUUUGUCGACAAAGAAGAGACACCAGAAUUCAUCGGGAAAUAUGAGAAGAUCAGAGAUCACUGGCGCGCAUUUGUGGCCCACAAGACAUCGGAAAAGAGUAAGAAGUUGUCAGCGACAAACAAGAAAAAUGCUGCGAAGAAGAAGCUUCACCAUCACACGGUGUCAGGUGGCUACCUCAAAGCCCGUCCUAAGUGGGCCAAGGCUGAGAAUGAUCUGCUUGAUAAAGGGAUCGAACCAGAGACAAUGAACUGGCCAAACCGUUGCCGGACUUGGUUCUUCGGGGCUGGCGAAACCUUGGACCCUGUAUCAGGGAAAUGCGUUUGGACGGACGAGCAAAUGAGAAUACUAGUCAAGAGGCUUCAGCACUAUAUCGAUGCAGCACACCAAGGGACGUUCGUUCCAGACAGAGAGAACGACAAGCUCACAAUGACCCUCAGGAAUCCUGAGCACCCUGGACGGACACGAGGCACGCUAGGCUCCGUUCCGUGGAAGGCUGGUUUUCCGGACACAGGCGGUUACAAAUGCUAG
rnacentral:rRNA from 1 species